rnacentral:rRNA from 1 species
UACAGAGGGUGCAAGCGUUGUUCGGAAUUAUUGGGCCUAAAGAGCUCGUAGGCGGCUUGUCGCGUCGUCCGUGAAAACUUGGGGCUCAACCCCAAGCUUGCGGUCGAUACGGGCAGGCUAGAGUUCGGUAGGGGAGACUGGAAUUCCUGGUGUAGCGGUGAAAUGCGCAGAUAUCAGGAGGAACACCGGUGGCGAAGGCGGGUCUCUGGGCCGAUACUGACGCUGAGGAGCGAAAGCGUGGGGAGCGAACAGG